rnacentral:rRNA from 1 species
AGAGUGAACGCUGGCGGUAGGCCUAACACAUGCAAGUCGAACGGCAGCACAGUAGGAGCUUGCUCUUACGGGUGGCGAGUGGCGGACGGGUGAGGAAUACAUCGGAAUCUACCUUUUGGUGGGGGAUAACGUAGGGAAACUUACGCUAAUACCGCAUACGCCCUUCGGGGGAAAGCCGGGGACCAGCAAUGGCCUGGCGCUGAUAGAUGAGCCGAUGUCGGAUUAGCUAGUUGGUGAGGUAAUGGCUCACCAAGGCGACGAUCCGUAGCUGGUCUGAGAGGAUGAUCAGCCACACUGGAACUGAGACACGGGUCCAGACUCCUACGGGAGGCAGCAGUGGGGGAAUAUUGGACAAGUGGGCGCAAGCCUGAUCCAGCCAUACCGCGUGGGGUGAAGAAGGGCCGUUCGGGGUUACGUAAA